UCCAUACUACAACAUCUAUUAAAGACCUUCUCCCUUUACAAAAGGACGCCCUCUUCCUCUCCUCUUGGAUUUGGAGUCCCUUCUCGGACUCACCCAGCAAUGGCCUGAGCGGCAGCAAUAACAGCCGGCGAGGUGGCGGCCGGCGGUGAGGCGGCAAUCGCUGCGGCCAUGCAGGGCAACUUAGUAACUUUGGCAGCUCACCAUCUCUUUGCUAAGCCAAGAUAAAGUCUAAAACACAUCUCCGAAUCCCAACGCCACCCCACCCCAACGUACACACAACAAACAACCUGUCUCAACCUGGUGAUGGAAAGUACAUUGAAAGUUGUGUGGAAUUUGAUUUGAUCCACGAUAUGUAUUUUUCAUUCUUGAUGCAUAUUGUGUGGAAUUUGAUUCUAUCAUUGAAAAUUGUGUGGAAUUUGAUUCUGUCAUAUUAUGUGGAAUUUGAUUCGGUACAAUAUGUAUUUUUCAUUCUUGAUGGAUAUUAUGUGAGAUUUAAUAGAUCUUUU